rnacentral:pre_miRNA from 1 species
AAUAAGUGUAGCCAUGGUUUUCCGCGCCCAACUUUGACCGUUCGUCUUAUUUGAAAUUUUUUGUGAAAAAACUAAAAACAUAAGUCACGAGUAAAGUACUAUUCAUGUUUUAUCAUCUCAUAGCAACAAAAAUGUUAAUUAUAAAAAAAUUUCAAAUAAAAUAGACGAUCAAAGUUGGGCACGAAAACUCAUGGCUGUAUUUAUU